rnacentral:rRNA from 1 species
UACGGAGGGUGCAAGCGUUAAUCGGAAUUACUGGGCGUAAAGCGCACGCAGGGGGCUGAGUCAGUCGAUUGUGAAAGCCCUGGGCUUAACCUGGGAAUUGCAGUCGAUACUACUCAGCUAGAGUAUGGGAGAGGGUAGUGGAAUUCCCGGUGUAGCGGUGAAAUGCGUAGAUAUCGGGAGGAACAUCAGUGGCGAAGGCGGCUACCUGGCCCAAUACUGACACUCAGGUGCGACAGCGUGGGGAGCAAACAGG